AAGUCGUAACAAGGUUUCCGUAGGUGAACCUGCGGAAGGAUCAUUACCGAGAGAAGGGCCUCGUGCCUUGGGGGCUCCGGCCCCCGACUCUUCACCCUGUGCAUAAUCUACCUUUGUUGCUUUGGCGGGUCUUGGGGUCACUCCCACGCCGGCCCCGGGCUUCGCCGCCCGGGCAAGGUGCGCACCCGUCGAAGGCCCAUUAUAUCCUAUUAUAUCAGUGACGUCGGAGCAAAAAACACAAUAGUUUAAAACUUUCAACAACGGAUCUCUUGGUUCUG
rnacentral:misc_RNA from 1 species